AUUGCAGANUUCCGCGAGUCAUCGAAUCUUUGAACGCACAUUGCGCCUGCCAGUAUUCUGGCAGGCAUGCCUGUCCGAGCGUCAUU
rnacentral:rRNA from 1 species